rnacentral:rRNA from 1 species
GAUGAACGCUAGCGGCGUGCCUAAUACAUGCAAGUCGAGCGAACAGACGAGGAGCUUGCUCCUUUGACGUUAGCGGCGGACGGGUGAGUAACACGUAGGUAACCUACCUAUAAGACUGGGAUAACUUCGGGAAACCGGAGCUAAUACCGGAUAAUAUUUCGAACCGCAUGGUUCGAUAGUGAAAGAUGGCUUUGCUAUCACUUAUAGAUGGACCUGCGCCGUAUUAGCUAGUUGGUAAGGUAACGGCUUACCAAGGCAACGAUACGUAGCCGACCUGAGAGGGUGAUCGGCCACACUGGAACUGAGACACGGUCCAGACUCCUACGGGAGGCAGCAGUAGGGAAUCUUCCGCAAUGGGCGAAAGCCUGACGGAGCAACGCCGCGUGAGUGAUGAAGGUCUUCGGAUCGUAAAACUCUGUUAUUAGGGAAGAACAAACGUGUAAGUAACUGUGCACGUCUUGACGGUACCUAAUCAGAAAGCCACGGCUAACUACGUG